rnacentral:lncRNA from 1 species
CCACACGCACAGAGAGAGAGGGUGCGCAAAAAAGGAGCUGCCGCGGGGUUGCUGUCGCCGCCGCGAGGCUGGGCUCGCCGCUGUGGAGGGUCGCCGCCUUCCUCCACCAUCACCGAAGAUCCAUCACCGGAGCUGCUGGGCUCGCCGUAUGCUACUGUUGUGUCGCUGGAACUGUCCUGGGGUUUUGCCACUUAUUCAGAUUCUGCUCUGUUUUGGGUUAGUGAUGUUGCUAUUGUUUUGGCCGC